AGCAAUAUAGAAUUAAUCGCUUUCGUGGUUUUUUCUUUUCUCGAGGUCGGUUAUAUCGCGUUUUCCUCCUUUCGAUUUUUCAUAUGUAGCGGAAAAGGCGGCUGAAACGAAAGCUUCGUUCGGAAUACAGCGAACUCUCUCUCUCUCUCUUAACCGGCUCCUAUUGUCUCGGUUAGAUUAGUCCGAUUACUCGAAUUGAAACGACUAAGAUUCGAAUGAUUCGAGCAACGAGAACAAGAGUAGAUACACGAAAGUGUAUCCGAAGUCAAGUAGGUAUGUAACAGGAUCACGCUGUUUUAUAGUUCGUACUUUCAUACGCUAUCGUAUAGCAUUCCUUAAAAUCACAGUUUGAUUGAAUCAUUUAGUGUUCGCAUGACGUAGCGUUACGGCCAAUAUAUUAAUAAAUACGGUUUUCGAUGCGUGAAAUCACUGAAAAGAGAAACUUCUCUUCCAGAAAAGAAUGUGAAAACGGUUAGUCUUGAAUUUUAUAGUUACUUAGCUUGGCAACUUCGUAGACUUAAUCCUAUGAUUCCUAUUUUUACAACACCGAGUAGUUUAUUUUCUCUAAAUUCGUCAUUAAAAUGUAUUACUAAUUUCAUGAAUUGACAAUAUAUAACUUAUUGUAUGAAAUUAUUGUAGAUAAAGUACUUUCAGAUACAUCGUAUGACAUGUUUCUAGAUAGUAAUUGAACAAGAUAUACGGAUUUAAUCAAACUUGUCCGAACUCAUCGAAAAUAUUUACUUUCCAGGGGAAGCUUAAUAUCAAAGACUUUUCGAAAGAAAGGAAAAUAUUUAAACAUACACAAAUCCAACGUUCAACAUUCGCUAGGCGUGUUGCGGAAUCGUCGAUUUCCAGAGUCCGGAAAAGUCGAUCGCGGACGCGUCAAUGUAUGCCGAUUUCGUCGUAACUUCACAAAGAGAAACGUGCAGAAAUGUCGGUGAAGCGAGUCGAAACGCCGAUAGCAUCGUCCGUCGACGCUUUAGAAAAUUGAACGCGGAUAAUUGGCCCGAAAGCGGGUUUCGUUGCGUCGAGCUGAUAUCACCGCGCGUAUAACACUUUCCCGCCGCUUAUACUCUGCGCUUGGCUUUGAACUUCACCGAGCUAUGCACACACGCGUUCCUUUGGUUCUCUGGAAGAGUGCGCGGCGAAUUCGUAGCAGCUUUCACGCUAUUCGAUCAUCAAUCACGCGGCUCCCGUUACGCGGCGAAGAAAACGCGGAAGCGAGCGCUACGCAGCACGGCCGCGGCGUCGCUGCUCGCUUCCAAGCCGCAUGCUCGUUUCGCUCGACCAUUCCACGAUCAUGGACCACUCUUCUAACGUUUCUAUAGAAGUACGCACAUUGUGUGCCGACUCAAGUCUUGUUUUACUGGUUUCUCGGUGAAGCUAUUUGAUUGAAAUCCUUGGGAGAUUAUACGUAUAGUCGAUUUUUGGGGGAAGAUAAUUAGCUUGUUCUAAACUCGGAUGCUGUGAAGCAAGAGAAAUAUCUGAUCUAAAUUGAUUGUUUGAGACGUUGUGUAAAUAAAAGGCGUCGCGAGGAGAUCAGUGAAACUUUAGUAGUUAACGAGAUACGUAAUAAUUAUUUUUAAACUCGUAGUGAGUAUUCAAAUAUUUCGGUAUUACAUUCUAAACGUUUUUCCUUAUACAGGGUGGUUGGUAACUGGUGGUACAAGCAGAAAGAGGGUGAUUAUACGCGAAAAAAGAAGUCGAAAAUAUAGAAUAAAAAUUUUUUUUUUAAUUUUUUACAUUUUUCCAUCGAGACAACGAUCUACAGUGAGAUCCGUUAUAACGAGACGUGAUAAAGUGCACGCGUACCGAGCGAAAAUUCAAAGUCGAUUUUCUCGGAAACAAAGCCUCAAACGAAAAAUUUUUAUUCUAUAUUUUCGACUUCUUUUUUCGCGUAGAAUCACCCCCUUUCCGUUUGUACCACCAGUUACCAACCACCCUGUAUAUUUCUUGAUAUAUGUUGCUUAAUUCUUCCUAUACCAUCAUAUAUUAAUAAAUAUAUACAUAUUCAUAAUAUUCAAACGAUACAUUUUUUUAUGCUUUACUUCAUUUUUAGUGUAAAAGUUAAAGAAGGGUUCAUUCUUGCUAACAUGUAUAAUCCUUUAUUGGAAGCACGACCAUUGUUUUGAUCAUAUUAUGAGUUAGUUACUUUCCUUAGAAAAAAUUGCCGGUCACAUUUUUACAGACGAAGAUUCAAACGUUUAAGUGCGCACUUAUGCAUUCGAAAGAACGUCUGCGAUUGGCCGACACGA